GUAUUUUAGUCACCCCUGUUGAUACAGCACGUUUAAAAGAGAGACAGUGAGACAGACAAAUGUUGGGUUUGGUAAAUGAAAAAUCAUCUUUAAUAGAUUCCAUUACACAUGUAAAAAUAAUUACUUUAUUUGGGCCAUAGUUGAAUAAAUAGAUAAAUAGAUAAAUAGAUAAAUAAAUAUUACAUCAACAGGUUUUAGUCAAGUAGAGAUGAGACCAGAAGAUCUGCUCUGGUGAGAUGAUAUUCCAUUUCUGUUCUGACCAGCUCCCAGGCUUCAGCGCUGUGGCCCUACACAAAUAACAAUGGAGAAUAUGAUCAUUAUUCAUAGAUAGAUAGAUAGAUAGAUAGAUAGAAGGACAGACAGACAGACAGACAGACAGAUACCUGUCUUUCUAGGAUGUGGCAUGAAAGUCUCUUGAAAUACAGCUGCAGCUUCUUGUUCUUCUUCUUGUGGCUGUGUUCACCAAUCUAAAUAUGUAAGAGAUACAUUUAUUUAUUAAGUGUGUUUUAUUAAUCCAAUCUAAUGCGGUGAAACAUCCACUGUGACACUCACACAGGAGCGGAGGUGGUUAAUCUGCUGUGACACAAGAUUGAAGAAGUUCUUCAGUGUUCUCUCUUCCCAUGAUGUCGCGCUGUGAUCCUCAUGCAGCAGAUCAACCAUCUCCUCCAGAACCUGAGCUGUGAAACCAAGUUUAACCUCCGCCUGAAGGAAGAGGAAGAAACAACACAGACAGAUCAUCAGGAAAGGCCACAGUCUCCUCCAGGGCAGCAUCCUCUGUGGUGUUGGUGGAGUUAUUAGUCUGUAUCACACACACACAUCAUGUGUUACAGGGGAAAGAAGAUUAAAUUAGUGUUUCAAAUGUUUAUUGUCAAACUAAUGAUAAUAAUAACAAUGAUAAUAGUCAUCAAUUCAAGACAACCUGAACAUUAGUGAGUC